rnacentral:rRNA from 1 species
UACGAAGGGGGCUAGCGUUGCUCGGAAUUACUGGGCGUAAAGCGCACGUAGGCGGUCUUUUAAGUCAGGGGUGAAAUCCUGGAGCUCAACUCCAGAACUGCCUUUGAUACUGGGGAUCUCGAGUCCGGAAGAGGUGAGUGGAACUCCGAGUGUAGAGGUGAAAUUCGAUAGAUAUUCGGAAGAACACCAGUGGCGAAGGCGGCUCACUGGUCCGGUACUGACGCUGAGGUGCGAAAGCGUGGGGAGCAAACAGGG